rnacentral:rRNA from 1 species
GAUGAACGCUGGCGGCGUGCCUAAUACAUGCAAGUCGAGCGAACAGAUAAGGAGCUUGCUCCUUUGACGUUAGCGGCGGACGGGUGAGUAACACGUGGGUAACCUACCUAUAAGACUGGGAUAACUUCGGGAAACCGGAGCUAAUACCGGAUAAUAUUUCGAACCGCAUGGUUCGAUAGUGAAAGAUGGUUUUGCUAUCACUUAUAGAUGGACCCGCGCCGGAUUAGCUAGUUGGUAAGGUAACGGCUUACCAAGGCGACGAUACGUAGCCGACCUGAGAGGGUGAUCGGCCACACUGGAACUGAGACACGGUCCAGACUCCUACGGGAGGCAGCAGUAGGGAAUCUUCCGCAAUGGGCGAAAGCCUGACGGAGCAACGCCGCGUGAGUGAUGAAGGUCUUCGGAUCGUAAAACUCUGUUAUUAGGGAAGAACAUACGUGUAAGUAACUGUGCACGUCUUGACGGUACCUACUCAGAAAGCCCCGGCUAACUACGUG